UAGGAGGCGGAGGAGAAGGGAGGGAGGCAAGUCUCCACCACUGAAAAGAAAGGACCUCAAAGAAUCCUGUGAGCCUGGAUGUCCACGGUCAAGAUCAGAGACACACACUCAUAGCAAACACAGCUGGGAUAAUAGCUGUGGGGGCUCAGGCAGAUUUGCUUCUCAGUUAUAAAAAGAUGUCAACAGCCAUCAGUACCUACGUCUUCCACCGUUCCGUGUCCUCAGAUCCUGAGGGCUCAUGGAGGCAGAAUAAAUGCCUUCUCUAUAUGUAUGUCGUGAUAAAAGGAUGUGGGCCAUGCUAUAGGAUCCUAUACACCUAUACACUACCGCGACAGACACUCUAAUCUCCAUAUUUGUGGUCCCCACCGACCUCAAGCA